rnacentral:rRNA from 1 species
UACGUAGGUUGCAAGCGUUGUCCGGAUUUACUGGGCGUAAAGAGCGCGCAGGCGGUCGUUCAAGUCGCGUGUGAAAGCCCCCGGCUCAACUGGGGAGGGUCACGCGAUACUGAUCGACUCGAAGGCAGGAGAGGGAAGUGGAAUUCCCGGUGUAGUGGUGAAAUGCGUAGAUAUCGGGAGGAACACCAGUGGCGAAGGCGACUUCCUGGGCUGUUCUUGACGCUGAGGCGCGAAAGCGAGGGGAGCAAACGGG